rnacentral:rRNA from 1 species
UACGAAGGGUGCAAGCGUUACUCGGAAUUACUGGGCGUAAAGCGUGCGUAGGUGGUUUGUUAAGUCUGUUGUGAAAGCCCCGGGCUCAACCUGGGAAUGGCAAUGGAUACUGGCAAGCUAGAGUGCGGUAGAGGGUAGUGGAAUUCCCGGUGUAGCGGUGAAAUGCGUAGAGAUCGGGAGGAACACCAGUGGCGAAGGCGGCGACCUGGGCCAAUAUUGACGCUGAGGUGCGAAAGCGUGGGGAGCAAACAGG